GCCGUCCAGGUUACAGAAGAGAACCUUCUCUAUCAACAAAACUAACUUGCCUUCAGAAUUUAAAAUGGUCCACAGCAGUCGAAUUUUGUAAAAAGAAAUCAUGCCCUAAUCCGGGAGAAAUACGAAAUGGUCAGAUUGAUGUACCAGAUGGCAUAUUAUUUGGUGCAACCAUCUCCUUCUCAUGUAACACAGGGUACAAAUUAUUUGGCUCGACUUCUAGUUUUUGUCUUAUUUCAGGCAGCUCUGUCCAGUGGAGUGACCCGUUGCCAGAGUGCAGAGAAAUUCAUUGUCCAGCACCACCACAAAUUGACAAUGGAAUAAUUCAAGGGGAACGUGACCAUUAUGGAUAUAGACAGUCUGUAACGUAUGCAUGUAAUAAAGGAUUCACCAUGAUUGGAGAGCACUCUAUUUAUUGUACUGUGAAUAACGAUGAAGGAGAGUGGAGUGGCCCACCACCUGAAUGCAGAGGAAAAUCUCUAACUUCCAAGGUCCCACCAACAGUUCAGAAACCUACCACAGUAAAUGUUCCAACUACAGAAGUCUCACCAACUUCUCAGAAAACCACCACAAAAACCACCACACCAAAUGCUCAAGGUACAGAGACUCCAUCAGUUCUUCAAAAACACACCACAGAAAAUGUUUCAGCUAAAAGAACCCCACCAACUCCUCAGAAACCCACCACAGUAAAUGUCCUAGCUACAAUAGUCACACCAACACCUCAGAAACCCACCACAAUAAAUGUUCCAGCUACAGGAGUCUCAUCAACACCUCAAAGACACACCAUAGUAAAUGUUUCAGCUACAGGAACCCUACCAACUCUUCAGAAACCCACCAGAGCAAAUGAUUCAGCCACCAAAUCCCCAGCAGCAGCUCAGACAUCUUUCAUAUCAAAAACCCUAUCUACAAAGACCCCUUCUGCAGCUCAGAAUCCCAUGAUGACAAAUGCUUCUGCUACACAGGCCACACUAACAGCCCAAAGAUUCACCACAGCAAAAGUUGCAUUUACGCAGAGUCCUCCAGCAGCACGUAAGUCCACUAAUGUACAUUCCCCAGUGACUAAUGGUCUCAAGAGUACACAAAGAUUCCCUUCUGCUCAUAUUACAGCAACACGGAGUACACCUGUUUCCAGGACAACCAAGCAUUUUCAUGAAACAACCCCAAAUAAAGGAAGUGGAACCACUUCAGGUACUACCCGUCUUCUAUCUGCUCUUAUAAUGCACAUGAGAGCAACAAAGUACUCAAUGUUGUGUUUGACCAUUUAAGUGUGACUGGUGGUACCUCAGAAAUAAGACUUUCUGGUAAAUUAUAAAAGGGCACACGUGUUUCACAUUGACAGGUUUGCUUGGGAUGCUAGUAACCGUGGGCUUGCUGACUUAGCCAAAGAAGAGUUAAGAAGAAAAUACACACAAGUAUACGGACUGUUCCUAGUUUCUUAGACUUAUCUGCAUAUUGGAUAAAAUAAAUGCAAUUGUGCUCUUCA
rnacentral:sRNA from 1 species